GACUGCUCCGGUGGCGUAGUGGUUAGAGCGUCCGCCUCGGAUGCGGAAGGUCAUGAGUUCGAUCGCUGGUCGAGUCA